rnacentral:rRNA from 1 species
UCUGGUGACAAUGGCAAGGAGGUCACACCUGUCCCCAUGCCGAACACAGAAGUUAAGCUCCUUAGCGCCGAUGGUAGUCGGGCUUACGUCCCGCUAGAGUAGGACGUUGCCAGGC